rnacentral:rRNA from 1 species
GACGAACGCUGGCGGCGUGCUUAACACAUGCAAGUCGAACGGAAAGGCCCUGCUUUUGUGGGGUGCUCGAGUGGCGAACGGGUGAGUAGCACGUGAGUAACCUGCCCUUGACUUUGGGAUAACUUCAGGAAACUGGGGCUAAUACCGGAUAGGAGCUCCUGCUGCAUGGUGGGGGUUGGAAAGUUUCGGCGGUUGGGGAUGGACUCGCGGCUUAUCAGCUUGUUGGUGGGGUAGUGGCUUACCAAGGCUUUGACGGGUAGCCGGCCUGAGAGGGUGACCGGCCACAUUGGGACUGAGAUACGGCCCAGACUCCUACGGGAGGCAGCAGUGGGGAAUAUUGCACAAUGGGCGGAAGCCUGAUGCAGCAACGCCGCGUGCGGGAUGACGGCCUUCGGGUUGUAAACCGCUUUCGCCUGUGACGAAGCGUGAGUGACGGUAAUGGGUAAAGAAGCACCGGCUAACUACGUGCCAGCAGCCGCGGUGAUACGUAGGGCGCGAGCGUUGUCCGGAUUUAUUGGGCGUAAAGGGCUCGUAGGUGGUUGAUCGCGUCGGAAGUGUAAUCUUGGGGCUUAACCCUGAGCGUGCUUUCGAUACGGGUUGACUUGAGGAAGGUAGGGGAGAAUGGAAUUCCUGGUGGAGCGGUGGAAUGCGCAGAUAUCAGGAGGAACACCAGUGGCGAAGGCGGUUCUCUGGGCCUUUCCUGACGCUGAGGAGCGAAAGCGUGGGGAGCGAACAGGCUUAGAUACCCUGGUAGCCCACGCUGUAAACGGUGGGUACUAGGUGUGGGGUCCAUUCCACGGGUUCCGUGCCGUAGCUAACGCUUUAAGUACCCCGCCUGGGGAGUACGGCCGCAAGGCUAAAACUCAAAGGAAUUGACGGGGCCCCGCACAAGCGGCGGAGCAUGCGGAUUAAUUCGAUGCAACGCGUAGAACCUUACCUGGGUUUGACAUGGAUCGGGAGUGCUCAGAGAUGGGUGUGCCUCUUUUGGGGUCGGUUCACAGGUGGUGCAUGGCUGUCGUCAGCUCGUGUCGUGAGAUGUUGGGUAAAGUCCCGCAACGAGCGCAACCCUUGUUCACUGUUGCCAGCACGUUAUGGUGGGGACUCAGUGGAGACCGCCGGGGUCAACUCGGAGGAAGGUGGGGAUGACGUCAAGUCAUCAUGCCCCUUAUGUCCAGGGCUUCACGCAUGCUACAAUGGCUGGUACAGAGAGUGGCGAGCCUGUGAGGGUGAGCGAAUCUCGGAAAGCCGGUCUCAGUUCGGAUUGGGGUCUGCAACUCGACCUCAUGAAGUCGGAGUCGCUAGUAAUCGCAGAUCAGCAACGCUGCGGUGAAUACGUUCCCGGG